rnacentral:rRNA from 1 species
GAUGAACGCUGGCGGCGUGCCUAAUACAUGCAAGUCGAGCGAACAGAUGAUGAGCUUGCUCCUCUGACGUUAGCGGCGCACGUGUGAGUAACACGUGGAUCCCCUCCCUAUCAGUCUGGUAUAACUUCGGGAAUCCGGCGCUAAUCCCGGAUAAUCUCUUGCUCCGUAUGGUUCAUUAGUGAGAGACGGUUUUGCUGUCACUUAUAGCUGGAUCUGCGCCGCAUUAGCUAGUUGGUAAGGUAACGGCUUACCAAGGCGACGAUGCGUAGCCGAACUGAGAGAGUGGUAGGCGACACUGGAACUGGGACACGGUCCAGGCGCCUACGGGAGGCAGCAGUAGGGAAUCGGACGCAAUGGGCGAAAGCCUGACGGAGCGACGCCGCGUGAGUGGUGAAGGUCUUCGGAUCGUAAAACUCUGUUAUUAGGGAAGAACAACUGUGUAGGUAACUAUGCACGUCUUGACGGUAACUAAUAAGAAAGCCACGGCUAACUACGUG